UUGCCGUUUAGAUGUCUACAUAUAUCAGCCACGGGCAUCUCAAGUGAGCUUGGAGCUGGAAGUACGACUAUAGCAUCUGACUUAUCAGAAGACGAUGCACACCAUUGUCCAGCUUACAUCAUGUGGAGGCAGAUCUAUCUAUUGACUCAGUACACGGCACGAAAUGUCACCUUGGACCCAUCCGGAACGUCAGCUUUUGAGUGUGAACAUCACCGCGCGGAAUUUCAUCACAAGUCAAGAAGAAUCAAGAGUAUUGCUCGGUUAUAAUACCAGUUGCAUGCAACCUCAUGACUCACCAUCACUUCAACCUUGCUGGCCCUCAGACGAAGACUACUCAACCAAGAUGAUACCUGAUUCCAUGAUGUAUGCAUAUAUAUACGACACAUGUUUAUAUCUUAUGAAAGAGGAUAGUCCAUAGUGAGAAGGUGAGCUUCCUCUUCCACCCAAGCUAUCAGUUGCCCUUUUAGUUUUACCAACCAUUGAAUGUAUGCUUCCCUCCAUCUGAGAUCCAUCAACAAAGACUAACAAAAACUGCAAAGAGAUGAUCCAGUGAUGAGCUGCUAAUUUCAUCACCAACUCCACUACCACCAACACCAUUGUCAAACUACUUAUGGAGACAGUGUCAUCGCCGUGCAAGAGCCACCUGGGAAGAGCAGCGGGCAAGUGAUUGGCGCUCAGGACUUCAGGCUGAAAAGUCUGAAGUUUGGAUUCCCACAUUGAUCACUGCUCUUGUGAGCAUGAGCAAGGCACUUUAUUCCAGUUUGCUUGGAGAAGGGAGUGACUUUCAUAAGUCACUAGUGAGGAGAUAAGCUUCCUCUGCGACCCUUGGCUACAGGGUGUCCUUGGGCAAGGCAUAGCACCUGUUUAGCCUCCCGUGCCAGGGUGACGGUGAAGAUGUCUAAUGUAGUGGAGACGUGCGAGUGGCUGACCACAGCAUUGACCUAAUUGGAGGGAAGAGGAAACAUAGCUAAAGGAGUGCUGCUCUGCUAGAUAAUCCACAAUGAAGAAGAUAAUUGGAUAAGAGGAGGGAUAAUUGGUGCCAGUGUGUUGAGUCAUGAGGCUGGGAAUGGAGCAAGAUGUCUUUUCCUCCAUUCAAACACCAUGCGUACUUAUCAUUUGGAGUCUUGGACCAACAAUACAAAAACAAGGAACCAGGACUUCAAACUCAGGAUUCAGGACUUCAAGACUUCAGGACUUCAGGACUUCUGCUGAAAAGCUGCAUAACACUGGUGUGCCAGGGGGGUGAGACAACACCUUUUGGCUGGUCAGAGCAUGGGAAAUCACACCUCCCCCCUCCCAAGACCGUGGGAGUUAGGGUUGGGGUGUCCGGCUCGCAGGUUUACCCUGGCACAAUCGCACAUAUACAGUGUACGGAUAUAUAUAUAUACGUGUGUGAUAUAUAAAGCGGUUAUAUAUGUACCUAGCUACAAUCUUAUACGUGUUGUACUUAGGUACAAUGUACUCAGAUGUUUGUGUCUAUAUGUUGUUAACUGCGCGGAAAAUUCGGUUGUGCGGUUUAGUUCGAGUUUCGCGCACCGGUGACUUUGGCGCCUACGAGACGUUAACACUUAACUUACUAGCAUUUAAACCAAUUCAUUACCGUUAAAGCCAAUUCACUCACUUCAAAUUCAACUCUAUUCGUCACAAGUACGUAAUUUGCAGCAAAAAUAACGUAACGUAAAUUAUACAGUUUCAAAGUUGUAAUUUGCAGCAACUCUCGCCACUAGAUGGCAUUCGUCGUAGAUGUGGAAGCAAAUUGAUUUGUACUGUAUUGCACAUGUGUGUGAAUGUAGAAUAAAUUUUCUAGGUGUUAGUUUUUUCAGAUGGAUGAUUGCAGAGAGUGACCACGAGAAUGACCGUGAGUGUAAC